AUUGAACGCUGGCGGCAUGCUUUACACAUGCGAGUCGAACGGCAGCACGGACUUCGGUCUGGUGGCGAGUGGCGAACGGGUGAGUAAUACAUCGGAACGUGCCCAGUUGUGGGGGAUAACUACUCGAAAGAGUAGCUAAUACCGCAUGAGAACUGAGGUUGAAAGCAGGGGAUCGUAAGACCUUGCGCAACUGGAGCGGCCGAUGGCAGAUUAGGUAGUUGGUGGGAUAAAAGCUUACCAAGCCGACGAUCUGUAGCUGGUCUGAGAGGACGACCAGCCAAACUUGGACUGAGCCACGGCCCAGACUCCUCCGGGAGGCAGCAGUGGGGAAUUUUGGACAAUGGGCGAAAGCCUGAUCCAGCAAUGCCGCGUGCAGGAUGAAGGCCUUCGGGUUGUAAACUGCUUUUGUACGGAACGAAAAGCUUCGGGCUAAUACCCUGGAGUCAUGACGGUACCGUAAGAAUAAGCACCGGCUAACUACGUGCCAGCCGCCGCCGUAACAC
rnacentral:rRNA from 1 species